GCCCCAUCCAGAGCGGCCGAGAGACCCGGCUCGACGACGCCGCAGCAACCCCCCGCGCAGGCGGGUGCGGGUGCUACCGCCGGGAGCGAUGGAGG
rnacentral:ncRNA from 2 species